GAUGAACGCUGACAGAAUGCUUAACACAUGCAAGUCUUUGGCGAAUCUGUGCUUGCACAGGCUAGCCAAGGCGGACGGGUGAGUAACGCGUAAAGAACUUGCCCUGCAGACAGGGAUAACAGACGGAAACGACUGAUAACACCUGAUACAGUUGCCGGCACGCAUGUGCCUGGCAAUGAAAAGAGAUGCUGCAGGAGAGCUUUGCGUCCUAUUAGCUUGUUGGUGAGGUGACGGCUCACCAAGGCGAUGAUAGGUAGCCGGCCUGAGAGGGUGAACGGCCACAAGGGGACUGAGAUACGGCCCUUACUCCUACGGGAGGCAGCAGUGGGGAAUAGUGGACAAUGGGGGCAACCCUGAUCCAGCAAUUCUGUGUGCACGAAGAAGGUUUUCGGAUUGUAAAGUGCUUUCAGCAGGGAAGAAGAAAGUGACGGUACCUGCAGAAGAAGCGACGGCUAAAUACGUG
rnacentral:rRNA from 1 species